GUUAUGGUCCAGCAGCCGCGUUAAUACGUAGGUGGCAAGCGUUGUCCGGAAUUAUUGGGCGUAAAGCGCGCGCAGGCGGUCCUUUAAGUCUGAUGUGAAAGCCCACGGCUUAACCGUGGAGGGUCAUUGGAAACUGGAGGACUUGAGUGCAGAAGAGGAAAGUGGAAUUCCAUGUGUAGCGGUGAAAUGCGUAGAGAUCAGGAAGAACAUCGGUGGCGAAGGCGCUCUGCUGGACCAUAAC
rnacentral:rRNA from 1 species